CGGGGGGCAGCAGUGGGGAAUUUUGGACAAUGGGCGAAAGCCUGAUCCAGCCAUGCCGCGUGAGUGAAGAAGGCCUUCGGGUUGUAAAGCUCUUUCAGCCGGAAAGAAAACGCAUGGGUUAAUAACCUGUGUGGAUGACGGUACCGGAAGAAGAAGCACCGGCUAACUACGUGCCAGCAGCCGCGGUAAUACGUAGGGUGCGAGCGUUAAUCGGAAUUACUGGGCGUAAAGCGUGCGCAGGCGGUUUUGUAAGACAGAUGUGAAAUCCCCGGGCUUAACCUGGGAACUGCAUUUGUGACUGCAAGGCUAGAGUACGGCAGAGGGGGGUAGAAUUCCACGUGUAGCAGUGAAAUGCGUAGAUAUGUGGAGGAAUACCGAUGGCGAAGGCAGCCCCCUGGGUCGAUACUGACGCUCAUGCACGAAAGCGUGGGGAGCAAACAGGAUUAGAUACCCGAGU
rnacentral:rRNA from 1 species